rnacentral:rRNA from 1 species
UAGGGAAUCUUCGGCAAUGGACGGAAGUCUGACCGAGCAACGCCGCGUGAGUGAAGAAGGUUUUCGGAUCGUAAAGCUCUGUUGUAAGAGAAGAACGAGUGUGAGAGUGGAAAGUUCACACUGUGACGGUAUCUUACCAGAAAGGGACGGCUAACUACGUGCCAGCAGCCGCGGUAAUACGUAGGUCCCGAGCGUUGUCCGGAUUUAUUGGGCGUAAAGCGAGCGCAGGCGGUUAGAUAAGUCUGAAGUUAAAGGCUGUGGCUUAACCAUAGUACGCUUUGGAAACUGUUUAACUUGAGUGCAGAAGGGGAGAGUGGAAUUCCAUGUGUAGCGGUGAAAUGCGUAGAUAUAUGGAGGAACACCGGUGGCGAAAGCGGCUCUCUGGUCUGUAACUGACGCUGAGGCUCGAAAGCGUGGGGAGCAAACAGGAUUAGAUACCCUGGUAGUCCACGCCGUNNNGAUGAGUGNUAGGUGUUGGGUCCUUUCCGGGACUCAGUGCCGCAGCUAACGCAUUAANCACUCCGCCUGGGGAGUACNANCGCAANNNU